rnacentral:rRNA from 1 species
CGCUGGCGGCGUGCCUAACACAUGCAAGUCAACUUGACUGAAGGAGCAAUCUGACAGUAGAGUGGCGCAAGGGUGCGUAACGCGUAAGUAACUUGCCCCAAGGUAAGGAAUAACGUCGAGAAAUCGGCGCUAAUACCUCAUAAUGCAGCGGAUCCGCAUGGAUAUGUUGUUAAAGGUUUACCGCCUUGGGAUAGGCUUGCGUCUGAUUAGCUAGUUGGUGUGGUAACGGCACACCAAGGUUACGAUCAGUAACUGGUCUGAGAGGAUGAUCAGUCACACUGGAACUGAGACACGGUCCAGACUCCUACGGGAGGCAGCAGUGAGGAAUAUUGGGCAAUGCUCGAAAGAGUGACCCAGCAACGCCGCGUGGAGGAUGAAGGUAUUCUAUAUCGUAAACUCCUGAGAGAGCAGACGAAAGACAGAUUAUUAAUCUGGAUGACUGUAUGCUCAGAGGAAGCCCCGGCUAACUACGUG